rnacentral:rRNA from 1 species
UGGGGAAUUUUGGACAAUGGGCGAAAGCCUGAUCCAGCAAUACCGCGUGCAGGAAGAAGGCCUUCGGGUUGUAAACUGCUUUUGUACGGAACGAAAAGGUCUGCCUUAAUACGGUGGGCUCAUGACGGUACCGUAAGAAUAAGCACCGGCUAACUACGUG